GCGGGAUGAGCUCAAGCUUAAAAUCUCUGUGCAGGUUCUGCAUGGCGAAUUGUAGUCUAUGGAGGCGAUGUCAGUGCGGUUGUGCGGGAUAAGUUCCUUGGAAGAGGACAGCAUCGAGGGUGAUACUCCCGUAUGUGCCUGUACAGCUGCGCGUACGACACGUUUUCUUUGAGUCGCGUUGUUUGGGAAUGCAGCGCAAAGUAGGUGGUAAAUUCCAUCUAAAGCUAAAUAUUGGUGCGAGACCGAUAGCGAACAAGUACCGUGAGGGAAAGAUGAAAAGAACUUUGAAAAGAGAGUUAAAGAGUACCUGAAACUGCUGAAAGGGAAUCGAAUCGUUUCCAGUGUCUAUAAUCCAUGACAUAUUUCAUUGGCGCGUGAAUGCGUGCAGCGUUUUGGAAGUGGGUUUCCUCUCCUGGCGUUGUUGUGCGUUUGCUUGCUGGUGCCCUGUGUUGUGGUGGGACGUCAGAGUCAGUUCGUAUGCCGCGGGAAAUGGCUGUCAGGGAGGUAGGUCGCUUCGGUGAUUGUUAUAGCCUGGCAGUUAGUAGUCGUGGUUGGGACUGAGGUGCCUACAACGCGCUUUCGAGUCUGCGGGACUCUCGUCUGGUUGGCUGCUUGGACAGCUUGCUGUGCUAGUGGUCACAUCGGGCGAUUGAGAUCUGUAGUAACUUGU
rnacentral:rRNA from 1 species